GGCUUAUUGGAGAUUCUUUCCUGCCUGAGGUCUUUCAAAGAGCAAUACUACAAAGAGGGCGAGAGUGCAGCACAAGCCCAGCAGUGAAGUAGCUGGACAUUUUCUGGACAACAGCACCCACAAAACCUUAUUCAGCUACUUUCAAGUUUAUAGUGAUUGCGAGGUAAAGAAGACAACAGGAGAGAUGGAAAAACAGCGGUCUUACCACUGCAGCUCUGUGCAUUAAUUGCUGCAGGAGGAUAUGCAAAGGGAGCAAGGACAGUCUUUAUUGACAGCUUCCUGGAAGAAAAGCAAAUAGAAUGGAGCAGAAGCUCAGAGAGAGCAUGCAUCUAGGCCAGCCCCAGAUUCCCAGGAGAAGGCACAAGCAUUAAAUCAGUGUCAGCUUUGGAAAAGUCCUGUCACCUUUCUCUUGCAAGGAUAAAUGAUUUCAACUGGUGAUACAGAAUUCUGCUAACCCUGGAGUUUGGUAUGGAGGUCAAUGACUGAAAUAUACAGAGAAGCCUGGCGGGUGGAUUGUAUCACACUCAUACAAACUCUCCAUGGUAUACGCCAUGUGCUUACAAUGGCAAAAGCAAUGACCAGAUGGCUGGAGAUGUGUCUUGUGUCCCAUGCCACAGUCCAAAAUGCUAUCCUGGGCCUUGAAAAGCAAAUCCUGUGGCAACGUAGAGAGAAUCUCUAUCUGAAGGUGCAAGUAGUGGCAGAAAUAUCCUGGGGUUUUAAUCUGCUCUUGUACCUUCCCCUCUGUCACUUGGGCCUACAGCACACACUAAUGCAUUUUAGCUUGAUGACUUGUUAGUUGAUAUUACUGUGUUGGGAGAAGGACUCCUCUGAGUAUUUUUUCCUGUAUGAGAGAAAAUUCCCUGAGUUCUCCUUCAGGAAAGAAUUUUGCUUCAAACAAAAAUUAAAAAACGUGACCAAAACUUGAACCUUUGGUUUAAGUGAAGCUGAAUUUCCAAAUUACCUAUGCUAGGUUUAUGGCAGAUGUAAGAAAUAGGACUAAGUCACAAAUUAAAACUUUCUGUUCACAGAAAAUUUGUAAAUCAAAAUCAAGUUGGCUUUGCACAUUAAGAAUUGUUACACUAAACUUAAUGUACUUCCACGUAGCCUUUCUUCUAUUGAUAGGCUGUUGCAGGAUAUUCUGAAGUAUACUAGGAAUUUAGGAAAUAAGUAAACUCAAGUUUAUUUCAGUAUAUCAUUUGGUUAUACUCUUUACUAAUAUAAUCUGGAGAAAACUGUUUGCACUAUCAUUUUUCAAGAUGAAAUUUGAAUGCAUUAUAGUAAAAAAAUAUAUAUACUAGCAUAAUUUUAUAGAAGAUAAUUUUUAUAGCUAAUUUUUAUGAAUUCUGAAUGUACUAAUCAUUAGUCAAAUCACAUAACACAUAAUAAGAGCUUUUAAAGGACUUGAAGUCAAAAGUUUCUGAACAUUUUAAUCAGCUAAUCCUCAUAAUAUAAUUGUCAGCCAGGUGUUAUUGACCUUAGUGUAAAAGCCUAAUAUUUAAUACUGUAGUGAAAGUAAGUGAUUUACUCAGGGUCUCACAGCAUAGUCAAAAGAGAUCUCCAUGAUUCAAUGAUGCUAAAGAACAGGUAGUUCUGUGCAUCGGAGGAUUGUAAAGUCUUCCCAUGAACAGCACAGGGAGAAAAUAAAUAUUAAUGAGAUUAUAUCCAGCUUCCUAGUGAACAGAAAUAUUCCCAGAUUCCCUGGCAUGUCUUCUGACAAAUUCUAGACCAUACAGACAAUUCACUGAAACUGGGUUGAUAAUGGCUACAGCUUCUGACCUUGAACUCAGCAUGGAAACAGUUUCUUUUUAUGUGAACUUCACGAUUGCUGUCUUAAGCAUUCUCUGGAAAAACACAAGCUGUCAAAAUUCAGUCGCUCUCUGUUCACUAUCUGCAUAAGAAACAAUCUCCAUUUGUCGGUAGAAAUUAAGACAUUGAUUUUCUGUGACUGCAAAAAGAAGCUGGUAUUUCAUUCAGUGAUUGCUCUGUAGUAGUUUAAUAUACUUAAUCUGAUGACUAUUAAAUUGUAC
rnacentral:lncRNA from 1 species